AUAUAUGUAAAGAGUUGGAAGUAAUCACAUGAAGCGCCUUUUGGUUGUUUGGUUUUGGAGUUAUAGGAACUUCAAAAUUAAACGUGUUUGGUUUGAAAAAAUUUCAGGAUGGAUGACCUCUUGGAAAGUUCUCGAACCCAUUAAGGGAACAAAACUGUGAGGCUAGUGGGGGCCAAAGCAGACAAUAUUUCAUGUGAUCUAGUUCUGGAUCAUUACAAUGAGA
rnacentral:lncRNA from 1 species